AUAAGCAGAUAUAGCAAAUAUAAAUAAGUAAAGUAAAGAGAAGAAGCCCUCAAACAAAUUUGUAGAUGGAGGAACUCGGCUUCUUCUUUACUUGACCCUCUUCUGAUUUUGCACGAAGUAGAGGAUCACCGAGGCAGCACACGGAUGGAGAGGAAGCUUUGGGAUUCACUUGGAUGCUCUUCUUCUCUCUAUUUUACUUUGAAUGGCCCUUUUGUGCUUAUGGGAGAUUUUCCUUGUAAUCUCUUUGAAAUCUCUUCCCUAAAUGUUCUCUC
rnacentral:lncRNA from 1 species